CCGUAGCUCAACAGGAUAGAGCAGUGGAUUUCUAAUCCACUGGUUGGGGGUUCAAGUCCCUCCGGG
rnacentral:tRNA from 1 species